UCCGUGUUAACCACGGCAGUCUCUUUAGAGUGCCCAACUGAAUGCUGGCAACUAAAGACAAGGGUUGCGCUCGUUGCGGGACUUAACCCAACAUGUCACCACACGAGCUGACGACAGCCAUGCAGCACCUGUCUCUCGGUUGUAUUGCUACAAAGACUGUAUCUCUACAGUUGUCCGAGGAUGUCAAACCCAGGUAAGGUUCUUCGCGUUGCUUCGAAUUAAACCACAUAAUCCACCGCUUGUGCGGGCCCCCGUCAAUUCCUUUGAGUUUUAAUCUUGCGACCGUACUUCCCAGGCGGGGUACUUAGUGCGUUAGCUCCGGCUCGGCGGGGGUCAAGACCCACCAAACCUAGUACCCAUCGUUUACAGCGUGGACUAC
rnacentral:misc_RNA from 1 species